AACGAACGCUGGCGGCAGGCCUAACACAUGCAAGUCGAGCGCCCGUAAGGGAGCGGCAGACGGGUGAGUAACGCGUGGGAAUUUACCCCGAGGUACGGAACAACUCGGCGAAAGCUGAGCUAAUACCGUAUGUGACCGAGAGGGGAAAGAUUUAUCGCCUCGGGAUGAGCCCGCGUAGGAUUAGCUAGUUGGUGGGGUAAUGGCCCACCAAGGCGACGAUCCUUAGCUGGUCUGAGGGGAUGAUCAGCCACACUGGGACUGAGACACGGCCCAGACUCCUACGGGAGGCAGCAGUGGGGAAUAUUGGACAAUGGGGGCAACCCUGAUCCAGCCAUGCCGCGUGAGUGCUGAAGGCCUUAGGGUUGUAAAGCUCUUUCGCCCGCGAAGAUAAUGACGGUAGCGGGAGAAGAAGCCCCGGCUAACUUCGUGCCAGCCGCCGCAGUAAAAC
rnacentral:rRNA from 1 species